rnacentral:rRNA from 1 species
UACGUAGGGUGCGAGCGUUGUCCGGAAUUAUUGGGCGUAAAGAGCUCGUAGGCGGUUUGUCGCGUCGACUGUGAAAACCUGGGGCUUAACUCUGGGCCUGCAGUCGAUACGGGCAGACUUGAGUUCGGUAGGGGAGACUGGAAUUCCUGGUGUAGCGGUGAAAUGCGCAGAUAUCAGGAGGAACACCGGUGGCGAAGGCGGCGACCUGGUCCAUUACUGACGCUGAGGCGCGACAGCGUGGGGAGCAAACAGG